rnacentral:misc_RNA from 1 species
GAAUGAAGAACGUAGCAAAAUGCGAUAAGUAAUGUGAAUUGCAGAAUUCAGUGAAUCAUCGAAUCUUUGAACGCACAUUGCGCCCGCCAGUAUUCUGGCGGGCAUGCCUGUUCGAGCGUCAUUUCAACCCUCAAGCACAGCUUGGUGUUGGGACUCGCGUUAAUUCGCGUUCCUCAAAUUGAUUGGCGGUCACGUCGAGCUUCCAUAGCGUAGUAGUAAAACCCUCGUUACUGGUAAUCGUCGCGGCCACGCCGUUAAACCCCAACUUCUGAAUGUUGACCUCGGAUCAGGUAGGAAUACCCGCUGAACUUAAGCAUAUCAAUAAGCGGAGGA